rnacentral:rRNA from 1 species
CCUACGGGAGGCAGCAGUAGGGAAUCUUGCGCAAUGGGGGAAACCCUGACGCAGCGACGCCGCGUGAGCGAUGAAGGCCUUCGGGUCGUAAAGCUCUGUCGUAUGGGAAUAAUAAUGAAUGUACCAUAUAAGAAAGGAUCGGCUAACUUCGUGCCAGCAGCCGCGGUAAU